AAAAGCGGCACUUUGUUAAUGCAACAGUUCCCAAAGGAUCACUGAAGUUAAACAACGUUGGACGUGGUUUGUAUAUCAAGAUGGGUGACCAUCUGAGAGAUCGCGAGCUGCUGGCU
rnacentral:rRNA from 1 species